rnacentral:tRNA from 1 species
GGGAAUGUGGCUUAGUGGUAGAAUGCUUGCCUUGCAUGCAUGAAGCCCUAGGUUCGAUUCCUCAGUACCA